rnacentral:misc_RNA from 1 species
AAGGAUCAUUACUGAACUGUCGACACGAGUUGUUGCUGGUCCUCGAAAGGGGGCACGUGCACACUCUGUUUACACAUCCACUCACACCUGUGCACCCUCUGUAGUUCUAUGGCCUUGGGGACUCUGUCCCCUUGCCGUGGUCCUACAUCUUUACACACACACACUGUAAUGAAGUCUCAUGGAAUGUACGUCGCGUUUAACGCAAUACAAUACAACUUUCAGCAACGGAUCUCUUGGCUCUC